UGUUUUAAAAAAUUAAUUAAUUAAUUAAAAAAAGUUAGUAGGCAUUUGAUUUUUCUUUAGUUGUAAUUGUUUAUUGAUAACCUGUUUUAAUAAAAUUAUAAACUUAUAUAAUAUAAAUAAUUGGAAAAGGGUCUGGGAUUGCUGAUGAACAUAUAAAAUGUAAAUAAGUUUCCUGAAAUUUUCAACUUAGGCAUAAGUAGAAUGGAUUUAGAGGAAGGUCCUGUCAUUGUGUUAAAGAUCCUAUUCUGUGUGACAUUAAGGACCUGUUUUCUUAUUGUGUAUUUAGUACUGGGUUUAUAUUUGAAAUUAUUCCUGAGAAUUACUGUUUAAAACAGGAAGGACAUGCUUCUGUGCAUGAAGAUUAUGCUAGUUUUGAAGUACAGGUAGUGAGCUAUACAGGCAGAUGAAUUUAAAUGGUACUUUGAGUUUAUUAUUUCAAGGAAUUUUUAUAGGUAUAUCUGGCUCUUUAAGAGUUAUUAGAUUUUAAAACUUAUUGAAACUUAGAAUACACACAUAUAAAUUAACACUAUGCAUCUUCUAGAAUUUGGCUUUAAGUUAAAUCAUAACCUAUUGUAUAUAAUAAAACCCUAAUAUGCAAAUUGACUUGAUGGUGGAAAGACUGGUCACUAUGAUAUGCAUUGACCACCGGGGGGCAGAUGCUCAAUGCAGUGCUGCUCCCAUGGCUGUACCUCUCGGGGGAUGCCCGACUGCUAGCUUAGGCCGCUCCCCCAAGGGUCCCCAACUGUGAGAGGGUGCAGGCUGGACUGAGGAACUGCCUCCCCAAUGCAUGAAUGUUGUGCACCGGGCUGCUAGUAGUAAAAUAAUAAUAGAUACACAUUGUGAAUUUCGCACAUAAUGGUGGUGUUAAAUGAUGCCUGCAGCUAAGUGUUACAGUAGAGAAUGUAGUAUAAACAAAUACAAUUCUCCAAGUCCUUUAAUUUUCUUGUAGCCUAAGUUAUUAGGUGAUAGAUGCAAUGUGUUCAAACCCUAGUAAUGGUUUGCAUAUUUCUAGACAUUAUUUCUAUAUCCUGUUUUUAAAAAACAAAAAACAAAAAAAAAACCCUUAGAAAUGUUUUAAUCAAAUUCUGCUAUUUGUGGGGUUUAUUGAUCUAUUUUUGUCAUUGGAUUGAUCUAUAUUACUAUUGUAUACUAUUUUCAUAACAUCAAUGAGUAAUUUGGUAUUAGAUGAUUUCCUCUGAAAACAAGUAUGAUUUAAACAAAUGGAACUCUGUUACAAUGCAGCAAACCACAACUAGUCAGUGAUAUCUGAUUUAAACUAAGCAAUUGAAAGAUUUUAAGCGGAAUAA